UAGGGUGAGAGGUUUUGAUUUUAUUGUCCUUCGAAUGCUACAUCUUCAGAGAUGAGUCUUACUAUGGAGAAAUUGUAGCUAGCAUUUUCUUUGCAUAUAUUUUUGAAGAAAGUUGGAUGUGAUCUUCAAGCAAGUUAAAGGAUGUGAUCUUCAAGCAAGUUAAAGGAUCCUGGGGUUGAAGACAUUAAAGAUUGAAUCUUAACUCUGCUAGAAAGAUUAUGCUUAAAGGUCUCUACUUCCCAGAAGAUCUGG